GGAUCUGCAAAGAGAGGGGUCGUGAGGGGGAAAGAGCUCUUUCAGGAGAAGGAGGCUGCUCUUGGGUGAAUGAGACGAGGAAACAAGAUGAGCAAGGCUGCCUGGCUAUACUGUUCUUCUGCUACUGAAACAUUCUUCAAGCAUGUCAUGAAUCCAUCAGUAUUCCAGCAGAGAGAGAAGAGUGGCAGUAGAAAGAUCAAUUCAUCACUUCAAUGGACAGAUUACUUGACUGUCAAGUCACACUAGGAAUAAUAAGGGGUUCAUUGUGCAGACAGGAAUUCUGAUACUUUCACGUGGCUGCCACACAGGAAAGAAUUGCUCCGUUCGUUCACUUCAAGGAAGAGUGCCACUCCAUAAGUACAAAUAGAUAUAGAGGGCCCAUUUCAGUCAUUGGCAAAUGCCUUCUCGGCCUAUAUCAAAAAGGAAACUAUUGCUACUGGGCAGGAUGGCAAAGAGCAGCAAACUGGAAAAGAGGCUUCUCCUCUCUUCCCAUGUUGCUUUGGCAUGCCGGGGGGAAAGGAAGAGAGGCUUCUUGAGCACUCUAUUCCAUAACUGCCAGAAAAAUUGUGCCUAUACUUGCAUAUAACAGGACUAAGUGUGCUUUCAGUUAUUAGCUAAUUCACUGCCUUGCGUCUUCUCUUUGGCAGUGGCUACAUUUCUGGUGGGGGCUGUUAAAAUCAGAAGGCAACUGGUGAUGUAACCUGUAAGGAAUGAACUUUGGGGGCCGUCUAGGGUCAACUUAUUAUUAUUUUGCUGUUAGUACUGCUCCCUGCAAAGUUUUAUAUUUGGAUGUUUCUGUUAUUGUUUUGAGUUAAAUCUGCUCUACUGACUGUAACACAU